ACAACUAAAUACGUCAUCUGAGGUCAUAAAGUUACUCAGUAGGGAAAGUCAGCUUCAGAGCCAGCGUGUUUUAUUUCAGAGUCAUGUUCUUAAUCACACGUUUUUGGCUUCCAGACACAGGGCAGGAAAUGAUCAGAGAGGGUUCUAGAUGUGGGGGCAGCACUGUCAUUUUCUCUGGUGGUGAAGGAGCAUGACGUGUUGAAGAACAGAAGCUCCCCUUCUGUUGAAGGAAUUCUGAGUCGUUCCUUGACCUGCAGGAGCAAAGUAGGAAAGGUGGCGGAAGAUGGGCUGAAGGUGUUGCCAACAGGAGGGGAUGGAGAACCCGGCAGUGUGCAGCUGAAAUCUUCCCUCUUGUGCUUGGGCCAGAUAGCGGUGCGAGCAUCUUUAGCCCUCAGUGCGAAGCUCCUGGAGAAACCUGCUUUGUCGGGUCCUGAGGCUGGAACUGAGAAAGACCACGAAGCCUGCAAGGCUGCAGGCUGCACGAAGUCAUUUGCCACAGGAAAACAAUUCCCCCGGGGCAGUUUGGGGGUGACUGGUGUUCCUGAAGUUCACCUGGAUCUGGCUCCUGCUGGCUUGGGGCAGCAUACUCUAGGUGGAUCUGUCCUUUCAGCUGCAUACCGGUUGUGAUGAUUCUGAAUCCCUCCUAAACUGGGGGUGAGGGAAAGUGGAGAGAAAAAGGCAGCGAGGAAGUCCUCACUCGCCUGAUACUCUCCUGAUGAUCAUGCAUCAUCUUCUCUCUGAACUUGGCAGCUUCAAUCAGAGUGCUCGUUUGUAGAGUACAAAUAUGACCACAUGACUCUCCUGCUUGGAACCCCUCAGUGAGAACCCUUGCAAUGAGGAAGAUGGACAGCACACAAGUUGACAGCAAGUCAUUACCAAAUCGGAUGCUCAGGCAAAGACCAAAGGAGGAAGAGCCUAUGGGAUGGUGCUGCCUUUUGCUCACAGCCUCGAUUUUAUGAGCGUGUCCUCAUUGAAAAGUCCCCGGGCCCCUCUGGCAGUUGUCGCGAUAUUAGGAUCUCCC